GCGCCACUCUACAGACGUCAAAAAGGGCAGCUACGAAGAAAGACACCUAUUUGAUGUGUUUUAUUUUCAGAAAAUUUAAUUAAAAUCAGAGCAAUUACUGCAAUUAAGUGAAUUAGAUUUGUUUAUUGCGUGUGUUAUAUCAUUUCCUGUGUGGUUAAUAAACAAGAAUGUGUACUGUUUAACCGUUUCGGAUGUGCGUUGUUUACUGUCAUGUACUUAUGUUAGGAAUAUCUUAAAUAGAAUAGACGUUUGAUGUCGGGGCCGCGUAUAAAAAUAACAUUGGAUUGUGUCGCCGGAGCGGCAGGGCUACACCCGCCUGCGCCGCGGUUCUGAUGAUGGAGCAAAAGUUCGUUCUUCACUUUGUGCUGCUGGUCUUGGGUAUCCAAACCACAACAUUGGCAGCACCCCCUUCAGAUGAUAACCUGCCACCUCGUCCGAAGGAAGGCGGCGUCACCACACGCUACUGCGAGUUCUACAAUGGCUCCACAACCAACUGCGACCCUGCCAAGGACGCCAAUUGCCCUCCCAAUCCGCUGCAGGAGGAAUGCGCGCCGGUUGAGGCCGACAAAAGCGUGCACUGCUUCGUGCUCUGGCUCUACGACAACAUCACCAACACAGCAUAUCCCAAAGUUAAAGGAUGCUUCGUGGACACCGUUUCGUGUAAAGAUCGUUCCGCUAACUGCAGGCUGCAUUAUGCGAAGCUACCACUCGUCCAUUGCUGCUGUGAAGGGGACUUGUGCAACCGUAACCUUACCUUCCCGAGUCUAGAUUCGGUUAUGGCCCAAACCGAAGUGCCGCCACAGAGGAUCCCGGCGUCUGCUGUACCAGACACGGACGACACUCAAGCAGUAAUAGCCUACACCCUGACACCGCUGUUUAUAUUAUUCGCUGUGUUGGUUGCUUGCUAUCUGUUGUACAGGAAACGCAAGGGCAGUUCUUUCGCUGAGCUCGCGAACGGUGAGGCUUCGCUAUCCAGACCGCCUUCAGCUGGCGCUGGUAUGGAGAAUGAAACGGGGACUCUGGUGGGGCAAGUGACACUUUGUGAAGUACGAGCGCGGGGCAGGUUCGGGGCAGUGUGGCGAGCGAAGCUGGGCCAGAGAGACGUCGCCGUGAAGGUGUUCCCGCUCCAGGACAAACAGUCGUGGCUGGCCGAGCAAGAGGUAUUCCGGCUACCGCGCAUGGAUCACCCUGACAUAUUGCACUACAUUGGCGUCGAUAAGCAAGGCGAUAAUCUCCAGGCCGAGUACUGGCUCAUCACGGCUUAUCAUGAGAAGGGCUCCCUGUGCGACUACCUAAAAGCGCACACACUAACAUGGUCGGAGGCGUGGCGCGUGGCGGCGUGCGUGGCGCGCGGCCUGUCGCACCUGCACGAGGAGGGCGGCGGCAAGCCGGCCGUCGCGCACCGCGACUUCAAAUCCAAGAAUGUACUCCUCAAAGCGGAUUUGAGCGCUUGCAUCGCUGACUUCGGCCUCGCCCUGAUCUUCGUGCCGGCUAGGGGAUGUGGAGAUGCGCACGGGCAAGUGGGGACGCGACGGUACAUGGCGCCGGAGGUGCUGGACGGUGCCAUCAAUUUCACGAAGGAUGCUUUCUUGAGAAUCGAUAUGUAUGCCUGCGCUUUGGUGCUGUGGGAGAUAGCGUCUAGAUGCAGCGAAGGAGGCGCCGAAUCCACAUCGCAGUACCGGCUGCCGCUGGAAGAGGAGGUAGGCUCGCACCCUAGCCUCGAGGAGAUGCAGGAAGCUGUCGUACAGCGGAAACUCAGGCCGCACAUACAGCCGCAGUGGCGCAACCAUCCGGGUCUGGGGGUGCUGUGCGACACGAUGGAGGAGUGCUGGGACCACGACGCGGAGGCGCGGCUGUCGGCGUCGUGCGUGCUGGAGCGCGUGGCGGCGCAGCGGCCGGCGAGCGACUCGGCGCCGCUGCUCAUACACGAGCUGGCGCGGGCGCCGCGCACGCCCUGCUGACCCGCACUGCGCACGCGCAACACCACGCGCACCGCACCGCGCACCGCACCGCGCACCACACCGCGCACCACACCGCGCACGACGUGCCGCUCAUCGAGCUGUGAUGGCGGACAGGUAUCACGAUUAUCUACCCCUUCCUUGUAUUAAUCAGUUUUUUAAAUAACCAUUAAAAAGAAAAAACUUUGUGACGUCACCCUGCU
rnacentral:misc_RNA from 1 species